rnacentral:rRNA from 1 species
GUCUACGGCCAUGCCACCCUGAACAAGCCCAAUCCCAUCUGAUCUCGGAAGCUAAGCAGGAUCAGGCCUGGGUGGUACUUGGAUGGGAGACCACCUAGGAAGACCAGGUGCUGCAGGCG